rnacentral:rRNA from 1 species
GACGAACGCUGGCGGCGUGCUUAACACAUGCAAGUCGAACGGAAAGGCCCUGCUUUUGUGGGGUGCUCGAGUGGCGAACGGGUGAGUAACACGUGAGUAACCUGCCCUUGACUUUGGGAUAACUUCAGGAAACUGGGGCUAAUACCGGAUAGGAGCUCCUGCUGCAUGGUGGGGGUUGGAAAGUUUCGGCGGUUGGGGUUGGACUCGCGGCUUAUCAGCUUGUUGGUGGGGUAGUGGCUUACCAAGGCUUUGACGGGUAGCCGGCCUGAGAGGGUGACCGGCCACAUUGGGACUGAGAUACGGCCCAGACUCCUACGGGGGGCAGCAGUGGGGAAUAUUGCACAAUGGGCGGAAGCCUGAUGCAGAAACGCCGCGUGCGGGAUGACGGCCUUCGGGUUGUAAACCGCUUUCGCCUGUGACGAAGCGUGAGUGACGGUAAUGGGUAAAGAAGCACCGGCUAACUACGUG